ACGAACGCUGGCGGCAUGCCUAACACAUGCAAGUCGCACGAGACCUUCGGGUCUAGUGGCGCACGGGUGCGUAACGCGUGGGAACCUACCCUUAGGUUCGGAAUAACUCCCCGAAAGGGGUGCUAAUACCGGAUAAUGUCUUCGGACCAAAGAUUUAUCGCCUUUGGAUGGGCCCGCGUUGGAUUAGCUAGUUGGUAGGGUAAAAGCCUACCAAGGCGACGAUCCAUAGCUGGUCUGAGAGGAUGAUCAGCCACACUGGGACUGAGACACGGCCCAGACUCCUACGGGAGGCAGCAGUGGGGAAUAUUGGACAAUGGGCGAAAGCCUGAUCCAGCAAUGCCGCGUGAGUGAUGAAGGCCUUAGGGUUGUAAAGCUCUUUUACCCGGGAUGAUAAUGACAGUACCGGGAGAAUAAGCUCCGGCUAACUCCGUG
rnacentral:rRNA from 1 species